AGCAUAUUGCCUGAGACGCGUUUUGUUAUUAUGUCUUAAAUAGUCCGUACCUGUGUCGCGUCGUCACAGGCCUGCGUCUCUUUGCAUUUCAGUCCGUUCUGGUUCGGGUGGGUUAAAGUUUUCAUGAGGAGUCUGUCGUGCCAUACUCCCCCUUGCACCAUGGCGGCUGACUGUGUCAAGUCGGAGCAGGUAGUAACAAGGUGACUUCCUCCUCGGCGCCGCCGCAGGUCAGCCUCCCAUCAUCUCUUAUUGGCCUUCAACUACACGCCGGUGUCUUAGGGAACUUUCAGCUUCGUGGUUACCGCUGUUGGUUGAUAUUAUAGCCCCACCCUACUGCACGCUUCAUUUUAGUGUUACUUUGCAACGUAAUUUUGUAAAUGACGUCCAUUUUGAAGUUAACGCUUCCUCUAUGUUGUAAUAUAAACACCCACACAUACAUAAGUUUGUCAACCGCCCCAACAGGAGGAAGUAGGAGUAGGCGUGGCCCUGAAUGGAGCGAGUCAAAUAUCGAGUAUUUCGAUACCAACGGCGGCCUCAAUAUCGUUUUAAUAGCCGGAUGAGACCUGCUACCAAAGAAUGUACAAUUCUUCUCAACUAAAGAGGAGAAAUAUAACCUUAGAGCAGAGGUUCUUAACCUUGUUGGAGGUACCGACCCCCGUUAGUUUUAUAUGCACAUUCAUCAACCUUAGUGAAAAAUAAAAUGUUUUUUUUAUUUUCAAAUUCAAGACAAAGUUAUGUGUUUUUGGUAACACUUUAGUAUGGCGAACAUAUUUUAAGUAACAGAGACUAAAUUUAGAGGUUGUUGGACACUAAUGGAACAUAUUCCACGUCAGUGGUUCUCAAAUGUGAAUUGUGAAUUAUAUUUAUAUAGCGCUUUUCUCUAGUGACUCAAAGCGCUUUACAUAGUGAAACCCAAUAUCAAAGUUACAUUUAAAGCAGUGUGGGUGGCACUGGGAGCAGGUGGGUAAAGUGUCUUGGCCAAGGACACAAUGGCAGUGACUAGGAUGACGGAAGCGGGAAUCGAACCUGCAACCCUCAAGUUGCUGGCACGGCCGCUCUACCAACCGAGCUAUGCCGCCCCGUAAAUGGGGGUACGUGUACCCCUAGGGGUACUUGAAGGUAUGCCAAGGGGUAUGAGAGAUUUUUUUAAAAAUAGCAACAAGUCAAAAAUCAUUUAUAAAUAUAUUUAUUGAAUAAUACUUCAAGAAAAUAUGAAUGUAAGUUCAUAAACUGAAAAAAAAAAUGCAACAAUGCAAUAAUCAGUGUUGACAGCUAGGUUUUUUUGUGAAGUGAAGUGAAUUAUAUUUAUAUAGCGCUUUUCUCGAGUGACUCAAAGCGCUUUACAUAGAGAAACCCAAUAUCUAAGUUACUUUUAAACCAGUGUGGGUGGCACUGGGAGCAGGUGGUUAAAGUGUCUUGCUCAAGGACACAACGGCAGUGACUAGGAUGGCGGAAGCGGGAAUCGAACCUACAACCUUUGAGUUGCUGGCAUGGCCACUCUACCAACCGAGCUAUGCCAUGUGGACAUGUUCCAUAAAUAUUGAUGUUAUAGAUUUCUUUUUUUUUGUGAAGAAAUGUUUAGAAUUAAGUUCAUGAAUGCAGAUGGAUCUCCAUUACAGUCCCCAAAGAGGGCACUUUAAGUUGAUGAUUACAUCUAUGUGUAGAAAUCUUUAUUUAUAAUUGAAGCACUUGUUUAUUUUUCAACAAGUUUUUAGUUAUUUUUAUAUAUUUUUUUCCAAAUCAUUCAAGAAAGACCACUACAAAUGAGAAAUAUUUUGCACUGUUAUACAAUUUAAUAAAUCAGAAACUGAUGACAAUGUGCUGUAUUUUACUUCUUUAUCUCUUUUUUUCAACCCAAAAUGCUUUGCUCUGAUUAGGGGGUACUUGAAUUAAAAAAUUUUCACAGGGGGUACAUCACUGAAAAAAGGUUGAGAACCACUGUUCUAAGAAAUAAAGACUUAAUUUGGAGGUAUUUGGUUAGGGUUAGGGUUAAAGGGUUAGGGUUAUAAUGAGGCCAUGACGAAGAAGGCAUUAAUAAGUACUUAAUAAUGACUUAUAGUUAAGAGCCAAUACGUUACUAAUUUGCAUGUUAAUAAGCAACUAAUUAAUGGUGACUAUGUCCCCCAUACUAAAGUGUUACCAUGUUUUUUUUACAGAUGCACAAAAUGAACCGUGCAUGAACAUCACCUUGUUCAAACAACAAAACAGACACUAAACUCACACUACAUUACAUAAACUCACAAAAAUUACACACCUGCAAAUCAGUGUGACUUCUGCUGUUGCCGUAUCCGUAAUAUGCCGAUAGGGAGAAGUUUUUAUUAAGACAAUGAGUCGGGUGUGUUUUGACCUCCGCCGAACCCCUGAGGCCGACUCACCUAACCCCUAGGGUUCGAUCGAACCCAGGUUAAGAACCACUGCCUUAGAGGAAAAUCUAAUUUAAAACAUUUGUAUGCACGUACAACACUUAAAAUCUUUAGUACAGGGUUGUCAAACUCAUUUUAGAUGGGGGGCCACAUGGAAAAAAAUCUACUCCCAAGUGGGCCGGACUGGUAAAAUCCCUGCACGAUAACUUAAAAAUAAAGACACCUUCAGAUUGUUUUCUGUGUUUAAAGGGGAACAUGAUCACAAUUUCAAAAGGGUUAAAACCAAUAAAAAUCAGUUCCCAGUGGCUUAUUUUAUUUUUUGAAAUUUUUUUCAAAAUUUUACCCAUCCCAGAAUAUUCCUAAAAAAAGCUUUAAAGUGCCUGAUUUUCGUUUUUAUACCCGAACGAAACUAUCUUUGGUAUAGUUUUUUUCUCACUGGCGCGUUGCUUGACAACUCUUCUUCGUUGGUUUUCCUGCAAUUUCAUUGGAUGAAUGCUGUGCGAUGAAAACAACGUGGAUAUAAUUUGAUUGUAUGUUGUACCGACAGCACACACGCUGACAGACACACACGUACACAAUGAAAGAUAUGGAGCACUUCUGAGUAAUUUUUUAAUCUUUGGGUUUUGGGGAAAGUAGCAAGUCUUGCCAAGUCAAAAGGCUCAAGUCCUGGUGAAGUCACAAGUCAUUGAUGUUAAAGUCUAAGUCGAGUUGCAAGUCUCUUUAGAUUUUGUCAAGUUGAGUCUAAUGUCAUUAAAUUCAUGACUCGAGUCCAAGUCAUGUGACUCGAGUCCACACCAAUGCUAUUUUUUCAUUUUAAUUUGUUGCUCUUUUUACUUGUCACACGUAGAAAGCCGGUCCGUGAAAAUAAUAUAUACAUUAAACUGGUCCUUCCAUCCAUCCAUCCAUCCAUCCAUCCAUCCAUCCAUCCACCCAUCUUCUUCCGCUUAUCCAAGGUGGGGUCACGGGGGAAGCAGCCUAAAUAGGGAAGCCCAGAAUUCCUUCUCCCCAGCCACUUCCUUCAGCUCCUCCUGGGGGCUCCCGAGGUGUUUCCAGGCCAGCCGGGAGAGAUAUUCUUCCCAACGUGCCCAAAACACCUCCCUAGGGAGGCGUUCGGGUGGCAUCCUGACCAGAUACUUGAACUAUCUCAUCUUGCUCCUCUCGAUGUGGAGGAGCAUUAGCUUUACUUUGAUCUUGUCCUUUCGGUCAUAACCCAAAGCUCAUGACCAUAGGUGAGGAUGGGAACAUAGAUCGACCGGUAAAGUGAGAGCUUUACCUUUACGAAUCCUGAAAAAAAUAAACCAAUUUUACAGAAAUGGAUGAAAGGGCACUCAACAAGGACAUUUGUGGUUCUGCUUGAGGAGUACAAAUGUUGUUGAUCAGCAUUUCACCGAGGAUUGGAAUGAACCUCUCUGUAGCCAGAAACAGAAACAUAGAUUAAAGUUAGAUUAAAACGUUGCCACCCAUCGACGCGGAAAUACUUCAACCACUCUUAUCGCCAUUUUGUCAAAGUAAAAACUCUGCCACAGCCGGUGCCUUUAUAUGGGACGUUUACAUCAAAAGGGACGCCAAUCCAAAAAAAUUAGGUCAUCAUCAUAUGGCGAGGAAAUAAAAGCCGAAUGGUGAUCAGUACAUAUUCUGCAGUAUCAUUUGUGUGAAAAAAUGGACCCAAUCUAGCAACCUUCAAAAAGUGCUCCGCAGUGUCUAUCUUCCUGUGUGGCUGCCAUUCACACACCAUUUUCUGACCGUCAGUUAAAACACCACAUCUUUUCAUCUUAUAUUUCAGCAAGGCUUCUGUCCCAUCAGAAACAAGCCGACGGGCGGACAGCGGGCUGAGCGAGGCGGUCUGGACCAAGUUGGAGGCCAGGAGGCGGGGCAUGCGGCGGCGAGGAGAGACUAUAAGAGAGGCGAAGGGGGCACGAUCGGGGGGAGAGCGGAGGAAACCACAGCAGCCCGACCACGAGCCCGACAACCGAGAUCACACCAAGAUGAGUCCCCGCCACAGACGCAGCACGACCAGGAAACGGUGCCGGCGCACUAGAAAUGGGCGCACCCGACUUUCCCGAAGACAGAUUUACUGAAAUAAUAAAUCUGAAUCAA